rnacentral:rRNA from 1 species
AUCGAACGCUGGCGGCAGGCUUAACACAUGCAAGUCGAACGCGUGUAGCAAUACACGAGUGGCGCACGGGUGAGUAACGCGUGGAUAUCUGCCUUUUGGUUCGGAAUAACCCCGGGAAACUGGGGCUAAUACCGGAUGGUUCCUUCGGGAUAAAGAUUUAUCGCCAAAAGAUGAGUCCGCGUACGAUUAGCUAGUUGGUGAGGUAAUGGCUCACCAAGGCGACGAUCGUUAGCUGGUCUGAGAGGACGAUCAGCCACACUGGGACUGAGACACGGCCCAGACUCCUACGGGAGGCAGCAGUGGGGAAUAUUGGACAAUGGGGGCAACCCUGAUCCAGCCAUGCCGCGUGAGUGAUGAAGGCCUUCGGGUUGUAAAGCUCUUUUGGCGGGGACGAUGAUGACGGUACCCGCAGAAUAAGCCCCGGCUAACUUCGUGCCAGCCGCCGCAGUAA